rnacentral:rRNA from 1 species
AGAGUUUGAUCAUGGCUCAGGAUGAACGCUAGCGGCAGGCUUAACACAUGCAAGUCGAGGGGUAUUGGUUUUCGGACCAAGAGACCGGCGCACGGGUGCGUAACGCGUAUGCAAUCUACCUUUCACAGAGGGAUAGCCCAGAGAAAUUUGGAUUAGUACCUCAUAGUAUAUAGAAGUGGCAUCACUUUUAUAUUAAAGUCACAACGGUGAAAGAUGAGCAUGCGUCCCAUUAGCUUGUUGGUAAGGUAACGGCUUACCAAGGCAACGAUGGGUAGGGGUCCUGAGAGGGAGAUCCCCCACACUGGUACUGAGACACGGACCAGACUCCUACGGGAGGCAGCAGUGAGGAAUAUUGGUCAAUGGACGCAAGUCUGAACCAGCCAUGCCGCGUGCAGGAUGACGGUCCUAUGGAUUGUAAACUGCUUUUGUACAGGAAGAAACAACUCUACGUGUAGAGUCUUGACGGUACUGUAAGAAUAAGGAUCGGCUAACUCCGUGCCAGCAGCCGCGGUAAUACGGAGGAUCCAAGCGUUAUCCGGAAUCAUUGGGUUUAAAGGGUCCGUAGGCGGUUUAGUAAGUCAGUGGUGAAAGCCCAUCGCUCAACGGUGGAACGGCCAUUGAUACUGCUAGACUUGAAUUAUUAGGAAGUAACUAGAAUAUGUAGUGUAGCGGUGAAAUGCUUAGAGAUUACAUGGAAUAC